CUUUUACUUCCCAGCAGCAUAAUACCACUUUGGUCAGGUUGAACCACUGCACAAUUUUGCAGCUCUUUCAGAAAAAUAAUGAAAACAAUUAGAAAGACACAAUCACAUGCAAUGGUGAGAAAAUAGUAUUACUAUCGCCCAAUCUUUCCCCAUAAAUCUGAAACAUCCUUGACUCAUCUCCACACUGUGUAAUUAUGAUAAGCCCUUAUAGCAAGGGAUUUUGUUUCUUUCAGGUUUUUUUGUAGCACCAAAUAGACACAGUGGCUAACAACAAAUAAUUCUGAAAAGUCAUUGCAAUAUUUAUCGCAUGUCAGAAACUGUCUGAAUCUGUAUGUUUAUCCAUUUCCCUGGCUUGAUAUAUUCUUCAUGAGAGUAAGCUGCAACAUAAGAUUGAGUUCCCACUCUGUUUCUGCCACUGCUGUGGUUUGCUGAUCACACUUCACUAAUCUCUUUGUAUACUACAAUUUCAAAGUACUUUUUAUAUACAGUGACACAUUUAUUUUAAUGUAAUGGUAUCCCCCAAGCCACAGAAAAUGCGAAGACAUAUGAGCUCUCGUGUUACACUGUGUGGGUUCAAAUCCCAGUUCCAUCUGCUGUGUGACCUUGGACAGGUCACAAACCUGUGCUUCAGUUUUCUUGUCGAUAAAAUGGAACCUACUAAAGAGAGUUGUUGAAGGGAUUCAGUGAUAGAGUCUAUGAGUGUCCUGAGCACAGAACUUAGUAAGAGCUAUGUGUCAGUUAUGAGUAAAUUAGUACCUACCUCAGUGGCAUCUAACUAUGGUUUUGGAUUCCUUGAGCAGCAUAUUUGUGUGGUAUUUUAGAAAAACAAGCUUACAUAAAUAUGUGCAGAGAGCCUUUUAUGAUUUCCAUGGCAUUAGGGAUUUCAUUUCUCCUAUCAGCUGUGAAGAAGGAACCAUGAGAUGGUAAACUCUAGUUAACUGCUAGAGCAAGUGUUGAGUUCCUCACAGCAAACUCCAAGGGGUGGCUAGAUUUGUCUUGUUUGCCAUUUUACAUCCAAAACCUAGCAUAUAGUAGGCACACAAUAAAUGUUUGUUAGAUGAAUAAACACAUGGAAAAGUCUUAAUUGCUAUAUGAUUAAUCUUUAGCUCAGAUAUAUUCUAAAGAUCAAAUGAGAAAGGAAAAGUGAUUUUUUUGAAAGCAGGAGAUUUAGAGAUGGUGUCUCUAAUCACAAUGAAUUGCCUUAGAGAAAAGUUGUUAAUGAACAUUGAAGGACAUAUUAUUAAUAAUACGCUUGAUAAUUUAAAUUUUCUUUUUUAAAAAUUAAAAUAUUAUAUUUUACAAAGUUUAUAAAUGGGGUUCCAUGUAUGGAUCAUAACUCAGGGAGCUUUCAAAAAUAACAAGAAAGGCUGAGUUUUAUUCAUUGUAAACACUCUGAAUAUGCAAACAUGCCUAUCUAAGUGUUCUCAAACCCUUGAACCCUUGGAAGUAACUGAUUUCAAAUUCAUAUAUCUAAAAAGUAUGAAGAGUCAAUUCUGGUUCUAAUUAUGUAAUUCAGAAAUUAUAAUGCCCAUCAGUAUAAAAUGAAUUGGUGAUUUUUUUUUCAAAUUAUCAGAAGGUAAAACUCAUUUAUUUAAUUUCAUUCAUUUAUGUAAUUGUUUAUUCAUUCAAUAAAUAUUAACUGAGUGCCUCUAUUGUGCUGGGCAUUUUUCCAGAUGCUAGGAGACAGCAGUCCACAAGGCAGUCACAGCCCUUUCUCAGACAUUUUAUAUUCUAGAGAGGGAUGAGAUGGGCAAGACUACCUCCAUGUUUUGGGAGAUUUUCCCUUAUGUUGGUCUCCCUGAAUCUCUGGAGCAUUGAUUUCUACUUCAUGAUGCUCUGAAAGCUGGUCUUACUAAAAAGCUGUGUUCAAGAUAAAGCCAAAAGAUGAGAAAUUCAGACAUUAUUGACACAUCCACAAAUACCUGUAGAUGUUAAAAAAUAAUGUAGACAAAAUAGCUCAAUAUCUCAGAGUCCUAUGGGCACAGCUUAGUAAAAUGAACUGAGAUCAGAUCACUUUGAUUUGUCACGGUUGAAAACUGCAUUUGUAAAUUAGUGUAAUCCAUCUCUAGCUAAGUUCCUCAGAGACAGCCUUGAAUUCUUAAAAGGCUCCUGAAUGAUAGAUUUUGCAUUUAGAUCUCAGCAUUGUCUUAAAAGAUAGUGGUAGUUCACAUAACUAGAGAAUUCCCUAUUGAUUAUAUGAUUGAGGAAGCACAAAAUCUGUUAUUCUUUCCAAAGUCAAUUGUAAUUUCAGCCCAUUAUCUCCCUGUGGAUGUUCUAUUUCAAAUAGCAACAGAAUCAAAAUGUAAAUGCCUCAAUGAAAAGGUUUGAGGAUUCUUUCAGUGAACUAUGCUUUGUGUAUUUUGCCUUCAAAAAUCAUAGCAGGAAAGAGUUUAGAAAAAUCUGGCUACCAAUCAGGUCAAGGGAAACCACUAAAUUUCACGAGGAUCACUGAUGAAUAGUUACAAAACAUUUUCACCCUUUUAAUACCUCAUUUGUUUAUGAUAUUAAAGUUUGAGCUUCAUAUAGGAGCAACCUAUGUCUUUAUUUUGAUAUGAUUUUGGACAUCUCAGUGGCUCCAAUGUGAUCAGUAAUAAUAAAAGGCAUUAAUACAAAUUGUAGUAAUUUUUUUCCUUUUCCCUCUGGCUUCAGUGAAUCUUUAGGGAACCACAAGGGACCUCUCUAAGUCUUAGGGAUGGCUACUUUUGAUGUAAACUUCACAGGAAGGCUUAUAUUUCAACAACUAGAUUUUACUAAAGAAAACUGUCCAUUUGGCUGGUCAUUUGUAAGCAGAACCAAUGUGACAUGUAAUGUGCCCUUAGAUGCCUUAGGUGUGAUGGACUACCCCUUCACUUAGAUGACUUGGCAUACAUUUAUUAGCACUUAAUAUUAUGCAAAUGAAGCAUAAAAUACAAAGACUUCUAAAAACACCAAUGUAAG
rnacentral:lncRNA from 1 species